GACGAACGCUGGCGGCGUGCUUAACACAUGCAAGUCGAACGGAAAGGCCCCUUUGGGGGUACUCGAGUGGCGAACGGGUGAGUAACACGUGAGUAACCUGCCCUUGACUUCGGGAUAACUUCAGGAAACUGGGGCUAAUACCGGAUAGGAAUCCUUGCUGCAUGGUGGGGGUUGGAAAGCUUCGGCGGUUUUGGAUGGACUCGCGGCUUAUCAGCUUGUUGGUGGGGUAGUGGCUUACCAAGGCUUUGACGGGUAGCCGGCCUGAGAGGGCGACCGGCCAAGGUGGGACUGGGGACGGCCCCGGACCCCGAGGGGGGGAGGAGGGGGGGAAGUUUGAAGAAGGGGCGGAAGCCGGAGACAGCACCGCCGGGGGGGGGAGGACGGCCUGGGGGUUGAAACCCGUUUUCAGCGGGGGAGAUGCUGGGGGGGAGGUUCCCUGAAAAAGAAGCCCCGGCAAACUACGUC
rnacentral:rRNA from 1 species